CUUUCACGAAGCUCCCACACGAUUAUAUAGACAGUAGAGUUGUAUAGUGGAAACAUAAGACAUACAUAUUACGUAAAUAAAUUAAAUACACGACGUGGCGGAGGUUAGCGUUCAGCUGCAGGAGGGAGAGCACGGGAGUGGCGACGCAGGUGAGCGUAAUUGGACUAAUCAAGGGACCAAGGAGAGUGAAUACUGACCCAGACGGACGGCUCAUAAUAAAAAAAGUACA